rnacentral:lncRNA from 1 species
CGGGGCCGCGACGCGUCUCUCCAGCCCGGGAUCCGGGGAGCUGGGCUGUCCCCAGACCGACGGGACAGCGGCAUCUCCUCCACCUGAAAAGGAAAGAGGACCAGGUUGCAGGACUCCGAACUGGGCCCGCGAGAUCUCCACCUGCGCAAAACGAAAGGGCGGAUUCUCCUUGGACUCACGAGGCAACCGCUCCCCGGGGUGAGAACGGGGGACUCAUUCCUCCGGCACUGGGAGAAGACGAUUCUUUAGGAGGAGGACAGGGAAGCGAAACAGUGCUAGAGAAGCCGUGAGCCAGCUGGCAGGUGAGAACGCCCAGGUGCAGUGGGCAUGGCUUAGUUUUGUCCACUGCUGGAUCUCAGCAUCCAAAACAGUCUACCACCUGGUGUCUCAGUAUACUGGCUCGCGGCACAUCGGGCAAAUGAACCUAUCAGAUAACAACGGCAGAUCAGAUGCCUGAGCAUUCAGAAGCAACAGCUGUGGAGCCCCCGUGGGUUCAGAAGGCCUGGUUCCCGUCUCCAGAAGCCUGGCUC